ACCAGGCUCCCAUCCUCUGCCCUUGGCGCCCUCCUCGCAGCCCUUCCUGGCACUCUGUCUUUUGUAUUUUAUUCAUUUUUUGGCAAAGGAUAUUUAGUAUCCCAUCUUUUUGUUUGGGUUCUUUUGUUGUUGUUGUUGCAAAGAUUAAGGACUCAGGCUCGGAAGCGGCUUGCAACUUUGUAACGCCUGUGGACGGUGUUGCCUUCCUUCUGGCCCUGUUGGGGGAUGCUGGGCUGAUAAUUGCAGAACCAGUGGCCGAGGUUUGGAAUCAGAUCUGACAUGGUGAAAUGAAAGGCAGCAGCAGAUGCUGAGCGUAACAACAAAAGUGUGCACGCAGGACAAACACAACAGGAUUUUUCUUUCUCCUUUCUUUCUUCCAAGCAGACUUCUUUUCAACCUCGUCUCUGAGCUUUCAGGUGUGUCCAUCUUCACAAAGGAGAAGCUAUUAUAUCUUCCAUUGAAAAAUAGCCUUGGAAUAUUAUUGUUCUUUCAGAAAUAAGAAGAAUUUUGCAUAAGGAUAUUCUUGUCUUUUAAAAAAAAAUAUUGCAAAAGGAGAUCAGAGAUGGAGUUAUCACCCCAAAAGAGAUGCUAACCACUGAAUUGUUCCUUGGAUGAUAGCAGGGAGAAGCAAGAGGAAGCUUAUGGUUGCAUCCCAUCCUAAGAAAAUAAUGGAUAACUCACCAAAGGGAAUGGAAAGAAAGAAGGAGAACAGACUGCAAACUGACUGACACAGGGACGGAGCAGAGGAUUUGAAGCACUUGCAAAAUGUGAUAUGAAGAAGCCAAAGCCAGGAGGAAACCAGGGAACUAUGCAGGUAAUAAAUGAAAUUAAUCCAAGAUAGUGGCCAGGACAGGCAAGGCAGGGGAUCAAAAUGAAGACAUUGAGGGCUCCCCCCAUAAGAUUUCACCAACAUCUCCAUGGCAUUUUCCUUCUGUUCCCAAAUUUCUGACAUUGCAGUAACCUAAAAUAUCAGUUCAGCAUUUACUUUAGCAUCUAAAGAACAGAGGCAGGCAAAGUGACUAAGGAAAUGGCAAACACAGCAAAUAGAUGAAUUCUAGAUGUGGAUGAUUUUUAGUGCCCCUCAGUUUAUCCCUUCUUUAGCUACAUCCCUGGAUAU